rnacentral:rRNA from 1 species
GUGCCAGCAGCCGCGGUAAUACGUAGGUGGCAAGCGUUAUCCGGAUUUACUGGGUGUAAAGGGCGUGUAGGCGGGACUGCAAGUCAGAUGUGAAAUUCCAGGGCUCAACCCUGGACCUGCAUUUGAAACUGUGGUUCUUGAGUGAUGGAGAGGCAGGCGGAAUUCCCUGUGUAGCGGUGAAAUGCGUAGAUAUAGGGAGGAACACCAGUGGCGAAGGCGGCCUGCUGGACAUUAACUGACGCUGAGGCGCGAAAGCGUGGGGAGCAAACAGGAUUAGAAACCCCGGUAGUCC